rnacentral:piRNA from 1 species
UAAAAAUAAAAAAUAAAAGCAGCCUAUCGA